rnacentral:tRNA from 1 species
AGGCUUGUAGCUCAGGUGGUUAGAGCGCACCCCUGAUGAGGGUGAGGUCGGUGGUUCAAGUCCACUCAGGCCUACCA